rnacentral:rRNA from 1 species
UACGUAGGGCGCAAGCGUUGUCCGGAAUUAUUGGGCGUAAAGAGCUCGUAGGCGGUCUGUCGCGUCUGCCGUGAAAACCCGAGGCUUAACCUCGUGGCUUGCGGUGGAUACGGGCAGACUAGAGGUAGGUAGGGGAGAAUGGAAUUCCCGGUGUAGCGGUGAAAUGCGCAGAUAUCGGGAGGAACACCGGUGGCGAAGGCGGUUCUCUGGGCCAUUACUGACACUGAGAAGCGAAAGCAUGGGGAGCGAACAGG